GAUGAACGCUGGCGGCGUGCCUAAUACAUGCAAGUCGAGCGAACAGACGAGGAGCUUGCUCCUCUGACGUUAGCGGCGGACGGGUGAGUAACACGUGGAUAACCUAACUCUCAGACUGGGAUAACUUCGGGAAACCGGAGCUAAUACCGGAUAAUAUAUUGAACCUCAUUGUUCAAUAGUUAAAGACGGUUUUGCUGUCACUUAUAGAUGGAUACGCGCGUCAUUAAUUAGUUGGUAAGGUAACGGAUUACCAAGGCAACGAUGCGUAGACGACACGAGAGAGUGGUUCGCCACCCUGGCAGGGAGACUGGUCACCGACUCCGACACGAGGCAGCGGUACGGACUCUUCCGCGAUGGGCGAGAGCCUGACGUAGCAACGCGGCGGGAGUGAUGAUGGACUUCUGAUCGGAGAGCGAUGUUAUUCGGGAAGAACAAAUGUGUAAGUAACUAUGAUGGUAUUGACAGUACCGGAUGAGAAAGCCACGGCUAACUACGUG
rnacentral:rRNA from 1 species